rnacentral:rRNA from 1 species
UCCGUAGGCGGAUUGAUAAGUCAGAGGUGAAAUCCCACAGCUUAACUGUGGAACUGCCUUUGAAACUGUUAGUCUUGAGUUAUAUGGAAGUAGAUAGAAUGUGUAGCGUAGCGGUGAAAUGCAUAGAGAUUACACAGAAUACCGAUUGCGAAGGCAGUCUACUACGUAUAUACUGACGCUAAUGGACGAAAGCGUGGGGAGCGAACAGGAUUAGAUACCCUGGUAGUCC